GUCCAUGCCGUAAACGAUGAGUGCUAAGUGUUGGGAGGUUUCCGCCUCUCAGUGCUGCAGCUAACGCAUUAAGCACUCCGCCUGGGGAGUACGACCGCAAGGUUGAAACUCAAAGGAAUUGACGGGGGCCCGCACAAGCGGUGGAGCAUGUGGUUUAAUUCGAAGCAACGCGAAGAACCUUACCAGGUCUUGACAUCCAGUGCAAACCUAAGAGAUUAGGUGUUCCCUUCGGGGACGCUGAGACAGGUGGUGCAUGGCUGUCGU
rnacentral:rRNA from 1 species